rnacentral:lncRNA from 7 species
CUACAGACCAAAUUCACAGGACAAAGGCAAAGCUGCCCAUCCUGCCAGGAAGCAAAGCCUACAACUCUUCUUGCUGACACCUAUAAUUAGGCUGGGCUCUUGUCUCAGGAUGAUGAGUGCUGAUGGGAAAGAGGAGAAAGAUCCUGCCAGGGGUAUCGUGUGGAGCUGAGCCAGAGCAGACCCAGGCCAUGAGCAGCAAUUGCCAACAGAUGUUUGCCUGGUCUUAAAUUACGUUGUCUGCAUGCCUGGAAAAAGAUAGUGUCUUAUAAAUAACUGUGCUUUGAUGCUCUGUGGCCUUGCAUAUUCAGGUCCCACCGUUAGGCACGUAUGUGUUAGUCAGAACUAGCUGGAAAUGGACUGGGGGUGGAAUUUCUUUUGUCAUGUCCAGAAGUGGGGUGCUGUCAGCUCUUCCUGGGAAGUUAUGGGGGAUCGUGGAAGAAUGACUCAUCCAUUCUGUUCUGCAUGAGGAAGCCUGGGAAAGCACCAUGCUUCUGGAGGAAAAGGCGUGCAAUUCAGCAGCUUAAUACUCCCAGCACGACGUCCUCCCCAUGUGCCACUGAAGAAUGGGCACUGAGGAUUUAUAGUAACAUGCUGCAGUGCCCUGAGAUGAAGCAUGUAACUGGCACCUGCCUUAGGAUGAGUGAGGGUUUCUCUCCUCUGCCUUGGAAUAACAGCCUUGGGAUUACAGCUUGGGUUGCCCUGCUCUGUACUCAGGAUGCAUCAGGAGAAGAUACUUCAGUGCCUUCCUUUGCAGGCAAUGCCAGGGGAAGGCAUCUUGGUGCCCAGCAGUGCAAGGAGCUCUGUGGUAGCAGGACUCUGGGAUCCCUGGGGUAAGACAACGAUAUCCCCCAUGUACCACCUCCAGGGUGAGAACAUGAGCAGCAGAGAGGCCAACUGAGAUGUUGGGAACAAGCACAUGCCACUGUGGUUAAUGGCUUAUUGAUGGGCUUACAGCUUUUCCUUCCAUCAUUACCAUGCAAGGUCUGGGUUUAGAUUUUUACUAAUUUGUUUGUUCCUAGCUGUUCAAUAGAUCUUUUCAGCAAACAUGCUUCAAUCUUUGGGUUAUUCACAAACACGCUUGCUAAAUGUAUUACUGUCCACUUAAUGAAUUCCAGUUGUUCAUUAGCACACCUAUCAUGUGGUAUUACUUCUGCUUUCUGAAUGGAUGUGAUAAAAUAGAUGCAUUAAAUAAAAAGUAAAUUAAAAAAAAAAAAGGCAGGUGGGGAAAAAUGAAGUUUCAGUGAUGUUUUCAGGAGGAAGGUGUGAAAAACAGGUGGACUCUAUGCUGAGGAAGUCAGUGGUUUCCUGUGGAAAGGCAGAGCAGCGGACACUGAUGAAGCAGCAGCAAAGCAUGGACCGAAACCAUAACCCUGCACUGGGAUGAGUCAGAAAGAGGAGAAAGGCUGCACUGCAGCAUCCCUAAUGAAGGCUCUAGCUGCUCUGCACAGCCUGUUUUGACCCACACUGUCAUCCUCCCUGUGUAAACCUUAGUUGCAGCGUAAGCUUGUAUCUCCAGCAGAGUGGAACUGAAUGCACACCUCCUAUUUCCCCAAGGAGCUUUUAGGAUCUCCAAGUGAUCUCCCACCUGCACCCAAGAGGUAAUUAAUAGAGUAUCUUAAU